GCCGGGCGUGGUGGCGGGUGCCUGUAGUCCCAGCUACUCAGGAGGUUGAGGCAGGAGAGCGGCAGGAACCCGGGAGGCGGAGCUUGCAGUGAGCCGAGAUCGCGUCACUGCACUCCAGCCUGGGCGACAGAGCGAGACUCCGUCUCAAAAAAUAAAUGAAUAAAUAAAUAAAUAAAUAAUUUAAAAAUUAAAUUUAACUUUUUUUUUUUUUUUUUUUUUUGAGAUGGAGUCUUGCUCUUUGGCCCAGGCUGGAGUGCAGUGACGCGAUCUCGGCUCACUGCAAGCUCCGCCUCCCAGGUUCAAAUGAUUCUCCUGCCUCAG
rnacentral:SRP_RNA from 1 species